GGGAAGGUAGGAUAUAAAUGGGAAUUUAAUGUUUAUUUCGUACGCAACGAUUAAUUUUUGCUAACAAAAAGUUCUUCUGUGGAGUUCGGUAUUACACGUUUUAAAAGUUAAUAUUUUGGAGAAAAAUUGCUAGUAGAUUAGUUAUUUACAAAAAAAAAAUUAAAAAAUUAAACAUCAUUGCAAAACUAAUACGUUUCAAUAUUCUAUAACUUAUAUCUUCUUAUACUAAUCAAAUUUAAUUUGAUGAAAAAAAAAAUGGGCAAUAACGAAAUCUGUGC